rnacentral:rRNA from 1 species
UACGAAGGGGGCUAGCGUUGCUCGGAAUCACUGGGCGUAAAGGUGCGUAGGCGGAUUCUAAGUCAGGGUGAAGCCUGAGGCUCAACCUCAGAAUUGCCUUGAUACUGGAAGUCUUGAGACCGGAAGAGGUAAGUGGAACUGCGAGUGUAGCGGUGAAAUGCGUAGAUAUCGGAGGAACACCUGCGGUGUAGACGGCUUACUGGACCGUAACUGACGCUGAGGCACGAAGCGUGGGAGCAAACAGG